GGUUGUGGGGUUCUGUACUUAAGGCAUGAACUGAAUAGCAAAUCUAAUCUGCCUACCAAUGCAAGUACUCACAAAUGCACUGCUCCCCUUUAUGAAGCUGCGGCGGUACGCAGCAGAGCCCCCCCUAAGCUGAGGUCCUCCAGCAGUGCUGCACCCAGAGCUCUCCAGGUUCAGUAACUCAUU